GACGAACGCUGGCGGCGUGCUUAACACAUGCAAGUCGAACGGAAAGGCCCUGCUUUUGUGGGGUGCUCGAGUGGCGAACGGGUGAGUAACACGUGAGUAACCUGCCCUUGACUUUGGGAUAACUUCAGGAAACUGGGGCUAAUACCGGAUAGGAGCUCCUGCUGCAUGGUGGGGGUUGGAAAGUUUCGGCGGUUGGGGAUGGACUCGCGGCUUAUCAGCUUGUUGGUGGGGUAGUGGCUUACCAAGGCUUUGACGGGUAGCCGGCCCGCGAGGGUGACCGGCCACAUUGGGACUGAGAUACGGCCCAGACUCCUACGGGAGGCAGCAGUGGGGAAUAUUGCACAAUGGGCGGAAGCCUGAUGCAGCAACGCCGCGUGCGGGAUGACGGCCUUCGGGUUGUAAACCGCUUUCGCCUGUGACGAAGCGUGAGUGACGGUAAUGGGUAAAGAAGCACCGGCUAACUACGUG
rnacentral:rRNA from 1 species